AUGAAUAAAUUUGGUCGAGCUGUUGCUGGCCCUUCGGGGCACUGUGCACGCUUGCCACCAAUUUUAUAACCACCUGUGCACCUUUGUAGACUAGAAACAGUUCUCGAGGCAACUCGGAUUGAGAACUGCGGUGUCAAAGCCAGCUGUUCUUGUGUUUCUCAGUCUAUGUUUUCAUAUACUCCAUUGUAUGUAUCAGAAUGUAUCGUUAGGCCUUUAGUGCCUUUAAAUCAAAUA
rnacentral:misc_RNA from 1 species